GGCGAACACUGGCGGCAGGCUUAACACAUGCAAGUCGAGCGGGCAUAGCAAUACUUCAGCGGCAGACGGGUGAGUAACACGUGGGAACGUACCUUUUGGUUCUGAACAACACAGGGAAACUUGUGCUAAUACCGGAUAAGCCCUUACGGGGAAAGAUUUAUCGCCGAAAGAUCGGCCCGCGUCUGAUUAUUUAGUUGGUGAGGUAAUGGCUCACCAAGGCGACGAUCAUUGGUUGGUCUGAGAGGAUGAUCAGCCACACUGGGACUGAGACACGGCCCAGACUCCUACGGGAGGGGGACUGGGGAAUAUUGGACAAUGGGCGCAAGCCUGAUCCAGCCAUGCCGCGUGAGUGAUGAAGGCCCUAGGGUUGUAAAGCUCUUUUGUGCGGGAAGAUAAUGACGAUACCGCAAGAAUGUUCCCCGGCUAACUUCGUGCCAGCAGCCGCGGUAAUACCAGUGACGCUAUCUUUGCUCAGAGUCACUGGUCAUUACGGGUGCGUAGGCGGGUCUUUACGUAAGGCGCGAAAUCUUGCAGCUCAACUCGAGAACUGCCUUUGAUACUGAGGAUCUUGAGUUCUGAAGAGGUGAGUGCAACUGCAAGUGUAGAGGUGAAAUUCAUAGAUAUUCGCAUGAGCGCCGAUGACGAAAGUGGCAUACUGCCCCUAUACUGACGCUGAGGCAUAAAAGCGUGGGGAACCAAACAGAAUAGAAACCCUUUGUGUCAAAGGGCGAUUCCAUUUGGGUCUGCGCCCGGGGGAUCCACUAUUUAUAGAGGGGCGCACCGCGAGCGCUUCAACUCUCUCUAUGAGCGUGGUGUACGCGCGCUCUUGGCCGUCUUACAACAGAAACCUCCAAUCUACAAUAUAGUGAGUCUAUACGCGCGCUCACUGGACUUCUUAUUUACAACA
rnacentral:rRNA from 1 species